rnacentral:rRNA from 1 species
GAUGAACGCUGGCGGCGUGCCUAAUACAUGCAAGUCGAGCGAACAGAUGAGGAGCUUGCUCCUCUGACGUUAGCGGCGGACGGGGGAGUAACACGUGGAUAACCUACCUAUAAGACUGGGAGAAAUUCGGGAAACCGGAGCGAAUACCGGAUAAUAUAUUGAACCGCAUGGUUCAAUAGUGAAAGACGGUUUUGCUGUCACUUAUACAUGGAUCCGCGCCGCAUUAGCUAGUUGGUAAGGUAACGGCUUACCAAGGCAACGAUGCGUAGCCGACCUGAGAGGGGGAUCGGCCACACUGGAACUGAGACACGGUCCAGACUCCUACGGGAGGCGGCAGUAGGGAGUCUUCCGCAAUGGGCGAAAGCCUGAGGGAGCAACGCCGCGUGAGUGAUGAAGGUCUUCGGAUCGUAAACCUCUGUUAUUAGGGAAGAACAAAUGUGUAAGUAACUAUGCACGUAUUGACGGUACCUAAUCAGAAAGCCACGGCUAACUACGUG